rnacentral:lncRNA from 10 species
GAUAUAUUUUACAAAGUAAGUUUGUGAACUUCAUUUUGGAUUGAACAUAUUUUCGAUUCCUCUCUUUUCCUGUUACACUUAACAUUUUUUGUUUUGUUUUGUUUAUGAAACAGGGUCUCACUCUAUCACCCAGGCUGGAGUGCAGUGGGCAAGAACACGACUCAUUGUGGCCACGACCUCUCGUGCUCAAGCAAUCCUCCCACCCCAGCCUCCCAGGUAGCUGUGACUACACGUGUGCACCACUACACCCAGCUAAUUUUUUAAUUUUUUGUAGAGACGGGGCCUUGCCAUGUUGCCCAGGCUGGACCUAAGUUUAAUUAAAAGGACGACAGCAAGACAAAAGCAAAAUGAUAGAUGUAGUUAAUAUGCAGAUUAAAUAAGCCGCAUGUGCACGAACCCUACUGCAACCCAUCAAGACAGAAAAUGAGCUGUCAAGUUACAUUUGUAGACUGAAGCGGUAAGCAAAUUCCAGACACGGGGGCCAUGAUAUGUACUUCUCUUCCUUGACCCUGGUGCACGGUAGUUUCCCGAAAAAUUUUUUCCAGGGGGACAGGAGGAACAUAAACAGAAAAAAAUUAAAACUUUGUCCAGAAUAAUAGAAAAGUAGACAGUGGAAUAAUUCAGGAUAUACCCAAUAUAAGGAAACAGCCUGUCUGACUUAUCAUCUGACUUUCUGAGUCAAGUUUGCUCACAGAAAAACUGACGAAUGAUGAAGAACUAGGAAACGCUGCACCAACAAUCAUGUGUUCCUGACAUUUUAUUCCAUAAGGAAUUUGGACCCAUAAACUACAAUUUCUUGUUCCCUUUCAUGGGAAUCUGUGCUGUGAGUGAACUCUGGCUUUGGAGGUUAAUGGAGAUUCAAGGUGCCAACCUACAUUGGGUGAGAUGCCAAGACCCUGGAAAUGAGCAAAGAUCCCAAUUUUCAAGAAAGAGAGGAAGGAACUGAACCUCUUGCUAACUUGAUGUUGCCCUGAAAAUACUUUUGGUUUGAGACUGUGAGCCAGUGUGGUUGGACGGCCGUCCUGAGCAGAACUCCUGGCCAUGCGGUGCCCAUCCCACCUUAUGGUUGCUAUCAUUCACCUGACCCCUGCCGGACCGUUCCCGUUCUUUGAGGGCAUUUACGCAACUCCCCUUAACCCCGGAGACCACUCAUUCUUCCGAGCUGCCACUUCCUCGGUUCUUGCCUAUACUAUCUUGUACUGAUAAUAUCUUCCAUUAGUAUAUCACCUGUCUCACUAACUAGAUUGUACUCCCAAGAAGAAGGACUCUCUAAGUCUUCCAUCUCUAUUAAUGGGUAAGAAUUUGAUGAUGAAAACAGCUUUACAGCCCUGGCAAGACCCCAUCUCUACAAAAAAUUAAAGAAUUUAGCUGGGCGUGGUGAUGCAUGCCUGUGGUCCCAGCUACCCAGGAGGCUGAGGCAGGAGAGUUGCGUGAGCCUGGAAGCUUGAGGCUGCAGUGAGCCCUGAUGGCACCACUGCACUCCAUCCUGGGUGACAGAGUGAGACCAUGUCUCAAAAAAUAAUAAUAAUAAAAGCAAGCAGCUCUAGAGUGUGAAGCAGCUGUGGCCAGGCAGUGGGUGGGCAACAUGAACAUGGUCUGCCCUGUAUGUUGAGCUUGCGAAACCCCACUGAAACCCGACAGCUUUUCACAUGAACUGAUGAAUAUGACCUGCAGACAACAGAUAACUCAGUUGUCCCUUUCUUUGUCCUCUAACCAUCUCUCCCUGUCUCUGUCUCUUGCUCUCUGUGUCUCCCCAUUUGAACUGGGCCUUUGAACACAGGGUUGUGCAUUUGCCUCUCUUCUCCUGCCUCUCAUAUUUGUUCUAAACGUUGUCCUCUUGUGUAUUCCUUUUCUUUCUGCUGCCAUCCUGGAGUUAGGCAAACUUCCUUCUACAUAUUUUUCUGUAGAAGGAAUGUACUGAUUAAAGGGGUCAGGGAGGCAGCUGGCAAAGAUAUCAAGAGAAGUGACAUCAACAGCAUCAUACCCCACAAAACAUAACAUCUCAGGAGCAUCCUUCCUACCCCUCCCCUUUCCAAUAGCGAGUUUGGUUAAUAAUGAUUAUUGUUUUCCUUUUGUUUUGUUUUGUGUGAGAUGGAGUCUCGCUCUGUUGCCCAGGCUGGAGUGCAGUGACAUAAUCUUGGCUCACUGCAACCCCCAUCUCCCGGGUUCAAGCGAUUCUCCUGCCUCACCCUCCCACAUAGCUGGGAUUACAGGCACGUGACACCAUGCCUGGCUAAUUUUUGUAUUUUUAGUAGAGAUGGGGUUUUGACAUGUUGCCAGGGCUGGUCUCAAACUCCUGACCUCAAGUGAUCUGCCCACCUCAGCCUCCCAAACUGCUGGGAUUACAGGCUUGAGCCACCUCACCCAGUCAAUAAAAAUUAUUUUUUAAAUCUCCGUUUAAGAAGUCAGAGUGAUAAGAUUAGGGGACCUAUCUCUUCAAAUUUUUACGUAUUUUCCAAAUUCUUUAUAAUGAACUCAUAUUCCUUUUAUAAUCAGAGAAGAACAAUUUUUAAAGCAAUGUGGUACGCAAAACAUCUUCAGACUUCUAUGGAAAAUGUAAUUACCAUGAACUUGAAACCUGGACUGCUGAAAUCAUCAUCUCGGUAUGCUGAUACUGUUAAAAAAGAUGAAAGGGCGAUUAAAUUAUAGUCUUGAUGGGCAGAGUGGUGAGGAAUGGAAAGAUAACUCCUAUUUUUCCCUCUACAUAAAAACCACAUAGCAAGUCCAGAAGACAGACCCUUCAGCUGAUAUGAGUGAUUCUGCUGGAGUGAAACCCUGGGGAUGCGUUUGCCAAAAAGAUUUAGGCUCCAGGAACCAUGAGAAAAACUAAAGAAUGUGGAAAGAGGGAUAUAUUUGAAACAAAACUGAGGAGAAAUAAUUUUUGUUAUACUUUACAACAGUUAUAUCUUUGUAAAAUAUGAGUUUUAGAGCUCAUAAGUAUGAAAGAAAUAAACAGCAUUUGGCAUGAGCGAGGA